AUCGCUUCUCGGCCUUUGGCUAAGAUCAAGUGUAGUAUCUGUUCUUAUCAGUUUAAUAUCUGAUACGUCCUCUAUCCGAGGACAAUAUAUUAAAUGGAUUUUUGGAGAAUGGAAUAGGAGCUUGCUCCGUCCACUCCACGCAUCGACCUGGUAUUGCAGUACCUCCAGGAACGGUGCACCACCU
rnacentral:snRNA from 1 species